UAGAAGUGCCUUGUAUUUUG
rnacentral:siRNA from 1 species